rnacentral:rRNA from 1 species
UAAGGAAUAUUGCGCAAUGGGCGAAAGCCUGACGCAGCGACGCCGCGUGGGGGAUGAAGGUCUUCGGAUUGUAAACCCCUUUCGGGAGGGAAGAUGGAGCGAGCAAUCGUUCGGACGGUACCUCCAGAAGCAGCCACGGCCAACUUCGUGCCAGCAGCCGCGGUAAUACGAAGGUGGCAAGCGUUGUUCGGAUUCACUGGGCGUACAGGGUGUGUAGGCGGUUUGGUAAGCCUUCUGUUAAAGCUUCGGGCCCAACCCGGAAAGCGCAGAGGGUACUGCCAGGCUAGAGGGUGGGAGAGGAGCGCGGAAUUCCUGGUGUAGCGGUGAAAUGCGUAGAGAUCGGGAGGAAGGCCGGUGGCGAAGGCGGCGCUCUGGAACAUACCUGACGCUGCGACACGAAAGCGUGGCGGGCUCACA